AUUGAACGCUGGCGGCAUGCCAUACACAUGCAAGUCGAACGGCAGCACGGGAGCAAUCCUGGUGGCGAGUGGCGAACGGGUGAGUAAUAUAUCGGAACGUGCCCAGUCGUGGGGGAUAACGUAGCGAAAGCUACGCUAAUACCGCAUACGAUCUAUGGAUGAAAGCGGGGGAUCGCAAGACCUCGCGCGAUUGGAGCGGCCGAUAUCAGAUUAGGUAGUUGGUGAGGUAAGGGCUCACCAAGCCGACGAUCUGUAGCUGGUCUGAGAGGACGACCAGCCACACUGGGACUGAGACACGGCCCAGACUCCUACGGGAGGCAGCAGUGGGGAAUUUUGGACAAUGGGCGCAAGCCUGAUCCAGCAAUGCCGCGUGCAGGAUGAAGGCCUUCGGGUUGUAAACUGCUUUUGUACGGAACGAAACGGCGAGCUCUAAUACAGUUUGCUAAUGACGGUACCGUAAGAAUAAGCACCGGCUAACUACGUGCCAGCCGCCGCGGUAA
rnacentral:rRNA from 1 species